rnacentral:rRNA from 1 species
UUGCACGCUGGCGGCAGGCCUAACCCCUGCAAGUCGAACGGUAACAGGAAGAAGCUUGCUUCUUUGCUGACGAGUGGCGGACGGGUGAGUAAUGUCUGGGAAACUGCCUGAUGGAGGGGGAUAACUACUGGAAACGGUAGCUAAUACCGCAUAACGUCGCAAGACCAAAGAGGGGGACCUUCGGGCCUCUUGCCAUCGGAUGUGCCCAGAUGGGAUUAGCUAGUAGGUGGGGUAACGGCUCACCUAGGCGACGAUCCCUAGCUGGUCUGAGAGGAUGACCAGCCACACUGGAACUGAGACACGGUCCAGACUCCUACGGGAGGCAGCAGUGGGGAAUAUUGCACAAUGGGCGCAAGCCUGAUGCAGCCAUGCCGCGUGUAUGAAGAAGGCCUUCGGGUUGUAAAGUACUUUCAGCGGGGAGGAAGGGAGUAAAGUUAAUACCUUUGCUCAUUGACGUUACCCGCAGAAGAAGCACCGGCUAACUCCGUG